UACGUAGGGUGCAAGCGUUGUCCGGAAUUAUUGGGCGUAAAGAGCUCGUAGGCGGUUUGUCGCGUCUGCUGUGAAAACGCGAGGCUCAACCUCGCGCCUGCAGUGGGUACGGGCAGACUAGAGUGCGGUAGGGGAGAUUGGAAUUCCUGGUGUAGCGGUGGAAUGCGCAGAUAUCAGGAGGAACACCGAUGGCGAAGGCAGAUCUCUGGACCGUAACUGACGCUGAGGCGCGAAAGCGUGGGGAGCAAACAGG
rnacentral:rRNA from 1 species